UUGAAAAAGCUCAUUGUAUCAGCAAUUGUCUUGAUACAUUAUGUGAAGCGUUUAGGCAACACAUUCAUAGGCAGAAAACUCAAAAAAAUUCUCUAAGAAUGUUGAUCAACAACUUAGGAAUGAUAUUGUGCAACAUACAACAUAUACUUCGGUUACCAAUAUGGGUAGAUAUUUGGGGGCCUAUGUAGAUCCGAGGAAGACUAGCAGAGGAAAGUUCAAUCACAUUAUUGGAAAAACUC
rnacentral:lncRNA from 1 species